GACGAACGCUGGCGGCGUGCUUAACACAUGCAAGUCGAGCGGAGCAGCGAACGGGUGAGUAACGCGAGCGUAUCUUCCCCCCCCUCUGGGAUAACAGUUGGAAACGGCUGCUAAUACCGGAUAGUAGGGGAUGACUUGGGUUCUAUCAGCUUGUUGGUGGGGUAGUGGCCGACCAAGGGGACGACGGGUAGCCGGCCUGGGGGGGGGACCGGCCACAUUGGUCUGAGAGACGGCCCAGAGUCCAACGGGAGGCAGCAGUGGGGAAUAUUGCACAGUGGGGGAAACCCUGAUACAGCAGCGCCGCGUGCGGAAUGACGGCCAUCGGGUUAUAAACCGCUUUAAGCCAUGACGCGGUAGUAGCAGAAGAAGCACCGGCUAACUACGUGCCAGCAGCCGCGGUAAUUC
rnacentral:rRNA from 1 species